UACGAAGGGGGCUAGCGUUGCUCGGAAUUACUGGGCGUAAAGCGCACGUAGGCGGAUUGUUAAGUCGGGGGUGAAAUCCUGGAGCUCAACUCCAGAACUGCCUUCGAUACUGGCGACCUUGAGUCCGGGAGAGGUGAGUGGAACUCCGAGUGUAGAGGUGAAAUUCGUAGAUAUUCGGAAGAACACCAGUGGCGAAGGCGGCUCACUGGCCCGGUACUGACGCUGAGGUGCGAAAGCGUGGGGAGCAAACAGG
rnacentral:rRNA from 1 species